rfam:Amphibacillus xylanus NBRC 15112 DNA, complete genome.
CUCAAAGGAUCUUCUGUUAAAAUCGUCACAUCCGUGGGACUGCGAUUACUCGCCCCAUCGAAAACAUUUGUGACAACACAGAAGUCACCACAUCCGUGUGGA